UAUCAAACUACCAGUGACAUUCUUUACAGAACUAGAAAAAACUAUUUAAAAAUUCAUAUAGAACCAAAAAGCCUUAAUAGCCAAGGCAGUCCAAAUCAAAAACCAAAACUGGAGA